GGGUUGUGAGGUUAAGCGACUAAGCGUACACGGUGGAUGCCCUGGCAGUCAGAGGCGAUGAAGGACGUGCUAAUCUGCGAUAAGCGUCGGUAAGGUGAUAUGAACCGUUAUAACCGGCGAUUUCCGAAUGGGGAAACCCAGUGUGUUUCGACACACUAUCAUUAACUGAAUCCAUAGGUUAAUGAGGCGAACCGGGGGAACUGAAACAUCUAAGUACCCCGAGGAAAAGAAAUCAACCGAGAUUCCCCCAGUAGCGGCGAGCGAACGGGGAGGAGCCCAGAGCCUGAAUCAGUGUGUGUGUUAGUGGAAGCGUCUGGAAAGGCGCGCGAUACAGGGUGACAGCCCCGUACACAAAAAUGCACAUGCUGUGAGCUCGAUGAGUAGGGCGGGACACGUGGUAUCCUGUCUGAAUAUGGGGGGACCAUCCUCCAAGGCUAAAUACUCCUGACUGACCGAUAGUGAACCAGUACCGUGAGGGAAAGGCGAAAAGAACCCCGGCGAGGGGAGUGAAAAAGAACCUGAAACCGUGUACGUACAAGCAGUGGGAGCAUGCUUAGGCGUGUGACUGCGUACCUUUUGUAUAAUGGGUCAGCGACUUAUAUUCUGUAGCAAGGUUAACCGAAUAGGGGAGCCGAAGGGAAACCGAGUCUUAACUGGGCGUUAAGUUGCAGGGUAUAGACCCGAAACCCGGUGAUCUAGCCAUGGGCAGGUUGAAGGUUGGGUAACACUAACUGGAGGACCGAACCGACUAAUGUUGAAAAAUUAGCGGAUGACUUGUGGCUGGGGGUGAAAGGCCAAUCAAACCGGGAGAUAGCUGGUUCUCCCCGAAAGCUAUUUAGGUAGCGC
rnacentral:rRNA from 1 species